GCCGGCAGCUACUGUAGCUCACUGCAACUCUCACAUGGUCGCCCACUGAAGCCAAGCAGAGCUGCGCCCAGUCAGUACCUGGAUGGGACACCACAUGGGAAAGCUAGGCUGCUGCCGGAG
rfam:Danio rerio chromosome 6, GRCz11 reference primary assembly.